AAUAUUGGUUAUUUGAAGAGGUCAACUAAUGAAUUGUCAUUUCGAUACGAUGCAGAAUUUGCACCUCUUCCAGUUCACUUACUCAACAUGUAAAUACUAAAGUGGUAGAUAGGUAAUCCAUUGACUUUUAGCUUAAUUAAAGUAUAAACUGAGCAGGAAAACUCAUCCAGGCUCGAGUUUGUAGGCUGGCAAGGAAUAGAUAUUUCAUUUGAUUAUAACCCAUCCAAUUCUUAAGUUCGCUGCGAUCUUCGAUCUCUUCCAGCAAUAUCUCAAAUGGAAUUAAGUUUAUGUCCAUUUCAUUUUAAUCUCAUUAGUGCGCCGAGGUCGAGUUCUCCACCCCCAACAGCAGCUGCACAUCCUCCACUUGGAAGCUCUGGAGCAGUCUGUUGUCGCUGCAGGACACCAGGAAGUUUAGCAGAAAGAAGAAACUUGUCCAACUAUACUAGAAACUUAUUUGCGAAUGUUUCGUUUUCCGCACUUUCCAAGCCAAAGUUGCUCAACCCCCAGAUGAAAUCGCAUCGAGGAGAAUGAAAUGUAUGAUAGGAACACGCUCUGAGUUUGCCUUUUUGAUCAGCAAUUCAAACACACGAAGCCCACACAUGCGAUUGCAGAUGCAAUAGAAUUUGAGCCAAAACUUUUCCACUAGCAAGGUGUGUGGUGGUAUCCUUAUAGCCAGAUAGAUGUAUUGUGUUUCCCAGCAUGUGUCUUCGUGCCAUAUAAAGUGCUUAAAUCUAAGUACCUCACGCCCACGUAGGCCUCUUAAUCACCAGGAGCAAUCGUAGAAAAGAGUUAGUAUUUAAAUGGUUGGUUAUUAUCCACCGGUGUGUAUAAUUUACUUUGCUAUUAUGGCAUGCUAGUUGCAAACAGGAAAACCCCUGAAAGUGCAAUUAAUUCAGAGCAGGGCUGUUAGCAAGGCUGUUAGUAAGGGGAAUCCCCUGGAAGUGAGGAGUUUGGGCAUGGUGUCUAUCGUGGAACAUCCUCGAACAUCUUUUGAGUGCCAUUAGAGUGAGGGGAAGGGAUAUUUAUUUCUGUAAUUGCUGUUGUCUCGCAAAUUGCAGUUUUCGCCAGACUCUUUUGUUUCCCACUCUGCACUUGCUAUAUAGACAUUGAAAUAGACAUGCAAAUUGGUAGACGGAGCAUAGUCGGCAUGACAUAACCUUUGAGGCCGCAUCCUUGCCAGCCAUCUGUGUAUUUGCAUUCGAAAUUAUGCUGUCGCACUGUUUGCCGAAGAAUCCAGGUGCAGCUUUUAAUGUUAUUAAUUCCCCAAAAAAGUAGGCAGUUUGGCCAAAAAACGAGCUGGAGCUCGGCCAAAUGUGCGGCGAGCCAAAAAGUACAUUUGCAAAUGGAGUGCAUAAAGUUAAGUGGAAAAGGACUCUCUUCAAACUUGCAGGCUAUCCAUUAGCCGAAAGGAUACACACUACAUGGUAGUCCUGAAAACAACUCCUUUGUAAGCACAAAACUCAUCCGAACUGAGCGAUAUAAUUGGUAUCCAAAUGUCCUUGUAAGCUAAUCCAAAGCCUCUUAGCAGCUUUCGAUGGUAGAACAUUUUAAGCUGAUUCAAUGCGUUCAAUUUCAACGCAAUUGAAUCGACUUCGGGCUUGGCUGGCGAGCUCAUUAUUCGGAUUACGCAAGCGGAUAAUGUCCUUUAGCCACUAAAUCCUAUUCCCAGCACUUUGACAAUGCAUAUAAUGCAGCUUGCCAAAAUGAGUUUGUGUUAAUGGAAUAAUGGCGAUUGGACUAAGCAAGUUAAUUAAUUCAAAUUGCUUGAGUCAUCUAAAGCUAUUUAUCACCAGGAAAUGGGUCCUGUGAAAUGUCAGAGUAUAAUUAAGUUAUAUAAUGAAGUUAUAUAAUGAAUAUAAUGAAACAUCACCUGAGAAGAAGCACCCCAUCAAUUUUUACAAUCAAAACUGGGGACAUUGGAAAGCAACAACAGCUGUCGAUAAGCCAUAUUCUUUACCAAAAUCGACUGAGAAUUAUUUGUUCAGGAUAUCGCUAUGUUGGCAAUCAGUGGCAAUUAACAGGACAAAGAGAAAUGACAGGGUUCUAGAUCCUUCCACCCACACACCUGUCAUAUUAUUACCCUUUCCCCUAGAACUCAACUAAUUUAAGCUAUGCAGCUCUUUUAUUUUUAUGGAGCCCUUUUUGUAGAACACAGAGUGAAAGUGCCUAAAUGUUUGAGCAAUUAAAAAGGGUCAUCCCUUGCGCAAGAAAUUGAAGCCCUCGGAUAUUUUUUGUUGUCGAAAACUUAAAAAGAACAUAGCCAACGGGACAACAAAUUAGAUUAAAUGGGCCUCUGUAUACCCUACAAUAUACACCAUCAUUUUGCUUUAAAUAUCACUGAGUAAUGUUAUCAAAACCACAUUAUUUGUAACUUAUGUGUAAAAUAACCAUUCUUACUUGUGCAAUUAGUAGCAUAUUUAUAUUUAUUUCUUCUGUAAUGGCUUAAAGAAAAUAAAAUUUACGUAAAUUAUGUUUUGGCAUAUAUAUCUAGUAUAUUGUAUUCGCUUAACUUGUUGAAAUGUUUAUGCAAAAUGCGCAAAAGUCGACCAAAUCAUUUUGGAUUUUAUACUACAAAGUUGUACAAACUUUUCAAAGUUCCUUUCGAGUUUCCCGAGAUACCGUUUUCAGCGAAGUUCAGAAAAAAAUUCAGUUUUUUUCCCCAGCCUUUUUUACGAUUUCCCUUUUGUCCACUUUAUGUUAGCCUGAAAAUUGGUUUAAUGGCCAAGCGCUUUGGCAAACACACACACACACGCGCACACACAGAUUGGGGCUUUUCCGUGGGAAAAGCGGUAUGUGGCAGUCCUCCGUCAAAGAGCAAAUGUGCGGUGGCGCUGAGUAAAAUAAUAAAUAAAACAAAACAAGCUCAGCAACAACAUGGAAACUUUACACAAACUUUCUCCCUGCCUGUUCCUCGUUGGCUGUUGGCCGAUGAGCCUGAUAGAUGUGUCAAUAAAAUCAAUAUUUGCCUUGCCUUUGCGACUAAAUGUUCAAUUAGCGCAUCAAUCAAAGACGCUUGAGCGAAUCAAAUGGUUUUUUUUGGGCCACUUAGACCGGGCUCAUGCGAUGAUUUAGUGGUGAAUAUUAACUGUGCGAUUAGAGCGCAAAUAUUUGACUAAUUAGCUAAUAAGUUAAGGCCGCAAAAUACAGUGUGCCCAGUAAAUUGGGUUCAGUUGGGCAAAUAAAAUCGGUUGGCGUAAGAACGCGUUAAAGAUAAGAUGGAUAAAGAUGGUUACUUUCCACAACGAUGGAAGAGGUCGAUUAUCAUAAUGAUUCCAAAGCCUGCCCACCAAUUUGGAUUUCGCGAAAGCCA